AACGAACGCUGGCGGCAUGCCUAACACAUGCGAGUCGAACGAGACCUUCGGGUCUAGUGGCGCACGGGUGCGUAACGCGUGGGAACCUGCCCUUAGGUUCGGAAUAACUCCCCGACAGGGGUGCUAAUACCGGAUAAUGUCUUCGGACCAAAGAUUUAUCGCCCUUGGAUGGGCCCGCGUUGGAUUAGCUAGUUGGUAGGGUAAAAGCCUACCAAGGCGAAGAUCCAUAGCUGGUCUGAGAGGAUGAUCAGCCACACUGGGACUGAGACACGGCCCAGACUCUUACGGGAGGCAGCAGUGGGGAAUAUUGGACAAUGGGCGAAAUCCUGAUCCAGCAAUGCCGCGUGAGUGAUGAAGGCCUUAGGGUUGUAAAGCUCUUUUACCCGGGAUGAUAAUGACAGUACCGGGAGAAUAAGCUCCGGCUAACUCCGUG
rnacentral:rRNA from 1 species